UAAACUGCAUGGUGUCUGUCCCGAGUCGUAUUGGGAGGACCACACGCCAUAUCAUCUCGUUGAAUCCAAGUUUACUUCGAUCUGAUGGUUAUUAUAUAAUAUUUGCGCAUAAGGGCGUUUCCACCACAAUUUCUGUCAAUUCAUUUUCCCGACGCAAAACGAUCCCAUGUCAAACAAAUUAUCUGUCGGCAUUUAUAAAAAAUUAUACCGAAAUUACCUGUUUCUAUCACAGCUGUCGUGAUUUUUUCAAAAUAAGAUGACUUUACUUUCAUAACUGGAUGGAAACGUGAUCAAAAUUCACCCAGGCUCAAACGUUACGGUCCCAAAGAACGUCUGGAGGGCAGUCAUGCAACUAGGCCAACAGUUACAUUGACAUGGCAAGAGCUGCUGUUGGGUGCUUUUGAUGUUGACAUGUUGCUGAAGAGCAACCUGAGAGAUUUUGUCAUGAAGUCCUUACCUGGUUCAACAAAUGGACACGAGGGAAUGGCUUACAACAAUAACAUGGCUGAAUUAAGAAGCGAUGGGAGCAAAAAAUUGGAUUAAAUGUGUUUAGUGUUUUGAGUCGUUUCAUUCGAACGUUUUAUUACCAUGACUACUAAGUAUCACUAAAUUAAUGUUCCUGUUACAUAAACUAUAUUUACAAAAGAAUGUGGACACCCUUUCAAAUUAGUGGAUUCGGCUAUUUCAGCCACACCCGUUGCUGACAGGUAAAUAAAUUGAGCUGCUAUGCAAUCUACAUAGACAAAUAUUGGCAGUAGAAUGGCCCGUACUGAAGAGCUCAGUGACUUUCAAUGUGGCACCGUCAUAGGAUGCCACCUUUCCAACAGGUCAGUUCGUCACAUUUCUGACCCAGUCAACUGUAAGUGUUGCUAUUGUGAAGUGGAAACAUCUAGGAUCUACAACGUCUCAGCCGCGAAGUGGUAGAACACAAGCUUACAGAACGGGACUGCCGAGUUCUGAAAUGCGUAGCGCGUAAGAAAUCAUCUGUCCUCGGUUGCAACAUUCACUACCGAGUUUCAAACUACCUCUGGAAGCAACGUCAGCACAAUAACUGUUCAUCGGGAGAUUCAUUAAAUGGGUUUCCAUGGCCAAGCAGCCACACAUAAGCCUAAGAUCACCAUGCGCAAUACCAAGCAUCGGCUGGAACAAAUCUGGGUUUGGCAGAUGCUAGGAGAACGCUACCUGCCCGAAUGCAUAGUGCGAUCUGUAAAGUUUGGUGGAGGAGGAAUAAUGGUCUGGGGCUGUUUUUCAUGGUUUGGGCUAGGACCCUUACUUCCAGUGAAGGGAAAUCUUAACGUGACAGCAUACAAUUACAUUUUAGAUGAUUAUGUGCUUCCAACGUUGAGGAAACAGUUUGGGGAAGGCCCUUUCCUGUUUAAACAUGACAAUGCCCCAUGCACAAAGCGAGGUCCAUACAGAAAUGUUUUGUCGUGGUGGCAGCAUCAUGGUUUGGGCCUGCUUUUCUUCAGCAGGGACAGGGAAGAUGGUUCAAAUUGAUGGGAAGAUGGAUGGAGCCAAAUACAGGACCAUUCUGGAAGAAAACCUGAUGGAGUCUGCAAAAGACCUGAGACUGGGACGGAGAUUUGUGGCCUUCACAGAGCCCUGACCUCAACCCCAUCGAACACCUUUGGGAUGAAUAGGAACGUCGACUGUGAGCCAGGCCUAAUCGCCCAACAUCAGUGUCCGACCUCACUAAUGCUCUUGUGGCUGAAUGGAAGCAAUUCCCUGCAGCAAUGUUCCAACAUUUAGUGGAAAGACUGUUUUUCUGCAACGUAUAAAAUAGUAAAAAUAAAGAAAAACCCUUGAAUGAGUAGGUAUGUAUAUACAGUGCCUUGCGAAAGUAUUCGGCCCCCUUGAACUUUGCGACCUUUUGCCACAUUUCAGGCUUCAAACAUAAAGAUAUAAAACUAUUUUUUUGUGAAGAAUCAACAAGUGGAAC